GAUGAACGCUGGCGGCGUGCCUAAUACAUGCAAGUCGAGCGAACGGACGAGAAGCUUGCUUCUCUGAUGUUAGCGGCGGACGGGUGAGUAACACGUGGAUAACCUACCUAUAAGACUGGGAUAACUUCGGGAAACCGUAGCUAAUACCGGAUAAUAUUUUGAACCGCAUGGUUCAAAAGUGAAAGACGGUCUUGCUGUCACUUAUAGAUGGAUCCGCGCUGCAUUAGCUAGUUGGUAAGGUAACGGCUUACCAAGGCGACGAUGCAUAGCCGACCUGAGAGGGUGGUGAGCAAGACUGGAAAUGAGACAGGGUCGAGACAACGAGGAGGGGCAGAAGUAGGGAAGCUUAGGGAAUGGGCGAAAAGCAAACAGAGCAAAGCGAGGGGAAGGAUGAAGGUCUACGGAUCGUAGAACAUUGUUAUUAGGGAAGACCGAAAGUGUAAGUAACUGUGCACGUCAGGACGGUACCGAAAGAGAAAGCCACGGCUAACUACGUG
rnacentral:rRNA from 1 species